rnacentral:sRNA from 1 species
UAAACAUUAUACAUUCCCACUCCGCCAUCAGGGCCCCGUGUGGAACGUACUGGGGCCUCGUGCUGCUGUAGCGCUUCUCUGUUAAAGCAUUUCACGCCGGGCAAUACCGGCAGCGGCCAAAUAAGUGCAUACCAUCAAGCAAUCGUGCCAUCAAGGAUAUAUAUCUCGUGCUGCAGACAUUUUAUUGACCGCGGACCCAGAUCUGGUCAGAUUCAACUUCGAGCAUCGUUAGGCUUCUGUGCCGCAACGCCACUACUACAACUGGAUCUGCCUUUCUGUCAGUAACGGACCAGCGAUACAUCCAGCUUUCUGAUUGCUGCUCAGAAUCUGCACCUGAAUCUUGCACCAAACUCUGUACCAGACUCGCACAAUAGCGCGGCCGCCGGUGUGGCAUGCAGUUCCGUUUUUCACCGACAGAACUGUCCGUUGAGCCCACAUGCUCCUUUGUUGGCGGUCGGGAGAUUGUUGUUCCAACAAUCGUUAGAUUAGCGAACGAGCAGAAAUAUCAUUUAUUUAUUGAUAAAGAUCGGCAAUCGACCUCCAUUCCGCUCGACUUGCAACCAACCCAUAAUGCAAAAGGCCAUAUCUAGCAACCGAAACGACUAAAACCAUCCCAAUCCACGCAUCCACCACCCACUCACAGCUUCAUUCCCUGCUCUAAUUUCAGCUUUUAUUCCCAACCCUCGCACCUAUUCAAUUUUGAAUUUAUUCCUUCAAUAACAGUCAACUUCUCAUCUUGAUUAGCAUACCAACGAGUACUUCUACUUUACCGCUCAGCUUGAAUGUGCCCUUUGAAGAGUUCUGUACAUUUGCCGAUAUCAUGAUGUCCCUUCAUGUUGCUCUGGGUUUAGCUUGAACUACAGCAGACAUCUUCGGCGAAGAUACUCAAGCAAGCUCAGUAAACCAAAGAAUAAUUAACGAUGAGUGGCACAAUUGAGGGAGCGACGGUAGUAAGGAGGGAUUGUGAAUAGUAGUGACGGGGCGGGAGGAAGGGCAGUGGACAUUGCAGAAGUGGUGGGGAAGGUUAAAUAGGCUGUUUUAAGAAACUAAAGAAGGGUACGAUGAAUGGAUGAAUAUGUUCUAGAAAGCUGUUCGCACUUAGUCAAGUUUGAUAAUGGAGCAAGACUGUUG